GAUGAACGCUGGCGGCACGCCUAACACAUGCAAGUCGAACGAUAUUUUUUAGAUUCCAAUCUCGAAGCUCGUAAGAGUCUCAAGAUACGGAGCCUAAAAUUUAUAGUGGCGGACGGGUGAGUAACACGUUGGAACCUACCCCGAAGAGGGAGAUAACAACCCGAAAGGGUUGCUAAUACCCCAUAUACUCCGAUUUAUUCGGAGGAAAGCUUUUGCGCUUCGGGAGGGGCCUGCGUAACAUUAGCUUGUUGGUGAGGUAAAAGCUCACCAAGGCUACGAUGUUUAGCUGGUUUGAGAGGAUGAUCAGCCACACUGGGACUGAGAUACGGCCCAGACUCCUACGGGAGGCAGCAGUGAGGAAUAUUCCACAAUGGGGGAAACCCUGAUGGAGCGAUGCCGCGUGCAGGAAGACGCUUUUCGGAGUGUAAACUGCUUUUAAUAGGGAAGAUUAUGACGGUACCUAUCGAAUAAGGACCGGCUAACUACGUG
rnacentral:rRNA from 1 species